rnacentral:rRNA from 1 species
AGUGAACGCUGGCGGUAGGCCUAACACAUGCAAGUCGAACGGCAGCACAGUAAGAGCUCGCUCUUACGGGUGGCGAGUGGCGGACGGGUGAGGAAUACAUCGGAAUCUACUUUUUCGUGGGGGAUAACGUAGGGAAACUUACGCUAAUACCGCAUACGACCUACGGGUGAAAGCAGGGGAUCUUCGGACCUUGCGCGAUUGAAUGAGCCGAUGUCGGAUUAGCUAAUUGGCGGGGUAAAGGCCCACCAAGGCGACGAUCCGUAGCUGGUCUGAGAGGAUGAUCAGCCACACUGGAACUGAGACACGGUCCAGACUCCUACGGGAGGCAGCAGUGGGGAAUAUUGGACAAUGGGCGCAAGCCUGAUCCAGCCAUACCGCGUGGGUGAAGAAGGCCUUCGGGUUGUAAAGCCCUUUUGUUGGGAAAGAAAAGCAGCAGGUUAAUACCCCGCUGUUCUGACGGUACCCAAAGAAUAAGCACCGGCUAACUUCGUG